GAAAUGCGAUACGUAGUGUGAAUUGCAGAAUUCCGUGAAUCAUCAAGUCUUUGAACGCAUAUUGCGGUGAAGGCUUCGGCCAACACCAUCUCUGGUUCAGCGUCGAUGUAACCCUCAUCCCACUCACCCCCUUGUGGAGUGAAUGGAAUGGACCUGGCCGUCCCGGCGUUGAGCAGCCUCAAAACUGCUCAAAGCCGGGUCUGCUGAAGUAAAGAAGCUAAUCAAGGACCGUAAUGGGCCGCAUCUAGGUAGGCAGCAUCACUGCUACAUAUUUAGGUGUUGGCUUGGACCUUGGGCAUGCCCUCAAACCAGGAAACACUUUACACUUUCGACCUGAGCUCAGGGA
rnacentral:rRNA from 1 species